GCCAUCGUGGAGCGAGUGAUGCAGGCUUCGGCCAUCGAGAAUUUGCUCAGCGAAGGAACGUGGUUGACCGCCGCGGAUGUAGCCAAGCUGGGCAACUACAGCCAGAGUAAUCCGUCGGAGCCAGCAAACCGUUGGAAAAAAGAGGGCAGAAUCUUCGCGGUGAGCACUGGAAAUCAGACACGCUAUCCG
rnacentral:misc_RNA from 1 species